AUAGAACAGAGCGUAUAAUGGUCUCCUAGUCGUAAUUGAGUAUUCAUGAGAUAUUAUAUUUAUCAAACACCGAGAAGCAGAGAUCAUCAUGUUAUAAAACAGAUGGACUGCCGCGAUAAAACUGUAAACGUGAUGGAACAUUCAACAAGUAAAUGUUUGACUUAUAUACAUGGUUUGACAUGCAAUGCAUGUGUACAGUAUUUACACUGAUAUUUAUAGCGUCUGUCAGUAAGUUGGCAUAAACGUCUGGGCUUGUAGCCAACAAGGUGGUUGACUUGAUUAUCCAGUUUUCUCAUUAGAUAAACAGUAACAACCUAUCGGUCCUCAAGAAUAUAGAGAAGAAAUACACUCAUAUCAAGACUUUAAUACAGCAGACAAAUAUUUUGAGGAUUAUAAAUCUGAUUGUGAAAAAUAAUCCCACACAACGACUGGACUGGAACCACUGAAGUGUGAAAAGCACAGAUUGCUUUGCUAUCUUACUACUGAUCCACUGUAGCGGAAAUCCGCGUUUCACAGAAGUGCACUUUAAUUCCGGCUUCACCUAAAAAUACGUAGGAUUUCGUUAAAACAACAAAAGACAAGAUGACGAUCAUGGGUUGAUCCAGGUUUAAUUGGCAAACAAUAUAACAUGUGACAGAAACAUGGCCGAAAUGAACUACAAGACAAUCAGACUAUUUUAAAUAAUCCAGUCCAAAUAAGAUGUAGUUAAAAGAAUCCAAGAUUCAGAAAUCCAAAUGAUCAUCCUGUAUAGCUUGGUAGUUGCACUAUGAGCAGUUGUUAUGGGAAUUUGAAAUGAUUAUAAGGAAAAAUGGUGUCAAAUUCCCAGUCGUUGCAGACGUAAGACUCAGCUAGGUCAAUGAUACAUUUGUUGCUCUAAUUGAUCUGGACUACAUUCCAUUACAGAAUUACCCCAUGUUUUUAAAUGGCUGACGUUGUAUUGUUAUUUCGUUGUUAAUAAAUACAUCAAUAAAUGCGUA